rnacentral:rRNA from 1 species
CCCUUAGAUGUUCUGGGCCGCACGCGUGCUACACUGAGUAAAUCAAUGGGUAAGGGAACACGAAAGUGCAACCUAAUCUUGAAAUUUGCUCGUGAUGGGGAUCGACGGUUGCAAUUUUCCGUCGUGAACGAGGAAUACCUUGUAGGCGCGUGUCAUCAUCACGCGCCGAAUACGUCCCUGCCCUUUGUACACACCGCCCGUCGCUCCUACCGAUUGAGUGAUCCGGUGAGGCUCUGGGACCUGGACGGAAAGAGCGUUUCGCUUGUUCUGUUUGGGAAACUUGGUCGAACCUUAUCAUUUAGAGGAAGGAGAGGUCGUAACA